rnacentral:piRNA from 1 species
AUAUGUUGACACAUUGUCUAGU